UACGUAGGGGGCAAGCGUUGUCCGGAAUCAUUGGGCGUAAAGCGCACGUAGGCGGCCCGGUAAGUCCGUUGUGAAAGUCAGAGGCUCAACCUCUGGAGGCCAAUGGAUACUGCCGGGCUAGAGUCCGGAAGAGGCGAGUGGAAUUCCUGGUGUAGCGGUGGAAUGCGCAGAUAUCAGGGGGAACACCGGUGGCGAAGGCGGAUCUCUGGGCCUUACCUGACGCUGAGGCGCGAAAGCUAGGGGAGCGAACAGG
rnacentral:rRNA from 1 species